GACACAGCAAGGAGGCCACCGUUUGCGAGCUGAGAAGAGAACUCUCACCAAAACCAACCCUGCUGGCACCUUGAUCAUGACUCUGGCCUCCGGAACUUUCUCCUGGAGGUUUCACUGAGAUCCACUCUGCACAGCCUGUCACUUAGACGUGUGAUACUCAACGGAGGCCCCUGUGUUUUGGUGCUUGAGGCUUGUUGAAUCCCUGCCCCUGGGAACCUUCAUCUGCCAUCUAAGAAGUCUGCUUACCCUGAGAUCACAAUGCUGAAGAGACCAUGUGAGGCCCACAAGCAGUCCUCAGCCAUGUUAGCCACUGCAGCAACAAUUAGAUACGUGAGUGCAGAAGACGACUCCCUCAAGAUGAAUCCAGCCUCAGCCACCAUCUGACUGCAGCCACAUGAAGGACCCUGAGACACCUAGACAAGCCCACCUGAGUCUAGUGGAACCACACAACUGUGAGAAGAGAUUAUAAUAGAUGACUGCAUUAAGGUUUUAUGUUUUGAGGGUAGAUUUUAAUAAAGCAAUAGGUGAGCCAAACAAGGGCUAAAUCCUCAAUUUUCUAGUUGGAAGUCAAAUAACAGAGUAUAAACUAGCCAAGAAAUAGAAGUGUAAGUAUAGAGUUUAGACACAUGGUUGUAAAUAUGACAAGAAACAACCCAAAGAGAUAAAAGUAUUUGCUUCUAGAGAACAAGAUAUGAAGGGUAGGGAUAGGUGAGACAGGGGCCACUGUUAAUAGUUGAAGGUCUUAUAGUGCUGUUUCACUUUUAAACCUAAAUAAGUUUUUUUAUCUGAGAAAAAUAAAAUAAAAUUAAAAAUCAACCCCAAAAUGGGGCUAUCUGUCCUGCCUAGGAAGCACAUUGUGAGUGUAUGCUGGAGUGUAUGAGAAUGGAAGCACUUUGAAAACUCUAAAAUACUAUCCAUAUGCUUCAUUUUACCUACUAUUAUUUUCCAAUUUCCCACUCUGCCUUCAAACUUAUUAUUCAACAAAAGUUUCAAAAGAAUUAGUUUAUGAUGAAAAUGUGGUUUGUAGUACCAGUUUUGUACUAAAUGUACAAGCCCUUAAUCAAUUUGGGCCUUGGUUUCCUUACUUAUUAAUAAAGGAAUGAGUAGAAGUAAAUAUGACAUUGAAGAUGUCACUUCCAAAUGUUACAGUAUUUAACACCUCUUGAACUUUACCUUAAACCUCUUCAUUACUAGGUUCUAUGAUGGUAGAUUUUAAAUAAUCUAGGACAGGAAUUCUCACUUUUUGGUCUCAGGAGCCAUUUAUACUUUUUCAAUCAUUGAGGACCCCAAAAAGUUU